CCCUUAGAUGUUCGGGGCCGCACGCGCGCUACACUGAAGGAAUCAGCACGUCUUUCUCCUUGUCCGAAAGGACUGGGUAACCCGCUGAACCCCCUUCGUGCUAGGGAUUGGGGCUUGUAAUUCUUCCCCAUGAACGAGGAAUUCCCAGUAAGCGCGAGUCAUAAGCUCGCGUUGAUUACGUCCCUGCCCUUUGUACACACCGCCCGUCGCUACUACCGAUUGGAUGGUUUAGUGAGAUCCUCGGAUUGGUCCCGGCGCGGCCUCUGGUCGUGCCGGAGUGCCGAAAAGAAUGUCGAACUUGAUCAUCUAGAGGAAGUAAAAGUCGUAACA
rnacentral:rRNA from 1 species